AAUUACAUCAAAUUGGAUCAAGUUAUAAAAAUUUUAAUAUAAUAUUAUGUACAAAUAAAAAAUAUAUUAUCAGACAUCUAUAUUAUAAAAUAAUAUAUUUACUAUAUAUGUAAAUUACAAAACAUAAAAAAAUAUACAUGAGAUUUUUUAUAAAAAACGGUUUAUGAAUUUACGUUGAACACAAGUUAAAUCAAACAUCUCGGCGGAGGUGCGGAUCAAGUUCUAAUACUUCGUUAUGAUCAUUAUGAAAGAAAUAAACAUUAGACUUAGAAUAAAAUAUAGGAUGUAAGAUUAAUGGUGAAUGCCAAACUUGUGGAGAAGGAAUAGAAUCUAUCAAUCAUAGAUCAAUGGUCUUCAAAUGUACGGAGGCCUGCGAAAUAUGGUCAUUGGCUGGCAUAGAAAUACCACAUCAGCUAAAUGAUAUCAUGGAAAACUUGCCUUGCCUACAUAAUGUAAUUAGUCAGAAUGUCAAAUAUCUAUAAACACAAAGAUUAUAAGAAUAAUUUUUCUUAUUAGCUUUCAAAACUAUUCAAAACUAAAGCUAUAUAUGUUUCUUUUAGAUCUCUUCAAUCUUAUGGAACACAUUUCUAUUAGAUCUCUAUUUAUAUGAAAGACAAACUUAAUCUAAUGGAAAACUUCAUUUUUCCUACUCUAGAUUUUAUUAUUGUGUUUAUUUCUUAACAUAUUAAACAUCUAAUAAUAUGUUAAGUUUCCACAAGCUUAAGAUUAUCCAAAAAUGACCAUCUUAGUUCCAACUUGAAUUUGGGAGAUCAAUUUCUUGAACUCCAAUUAAGCUCUGUGCGUGCUUGAACUCAAUCACCACGUAAUCAUCUUUCUUCACACCAUUGUGUGUGUAUCCAUCCAUUGGAGUCACAUCUUUCUCAAGGUUAGAUUGGAUGCUCUCCUUGCUUCCGUACCGCCUCUUCUUAGAAUUGGUCCAAUUCUUGUAGAACCAUCUCCUGACCUCUUCACUUAAGUUGCGAUGAGACUUGCGGCUGAAGCUCACUACGACGAGAACUCUGGUCACGUCCACCAUCUUGCGUACGUGAGCUCUAGUGAGGAUAUCGGCCUUCUGCUCAACACUCAGCGCAUUUAUCUCUGGUUCGUCUUCAGCCUUUGAAAUAUUUAACCUUGACUCUAUUGGUACGUGUGUUGUGUUCCACACUUCCAUCUUUGUGUCACAUACCCAUGUAUGUAUAACACCUACAUAAGUUGUGUUACACGCUUUCAUCAUUGUGUCACAUACCCCUGUAUGUUUAACACCAGUCGAUCUAUCCAUGAACUUCUUGUGAUAGAAUCUACCUCGGCUGCCAUAGCUUCAACUCCACUUUCUUCACAAAGUAGAUUGAAACCAGAUGAGGAAAAAUCUCAUCCUCUAUCGGUGCGAAACCCUUUGAACCGAUAGACUGCCUCACGGUUACUUGCUGGUGUUAGUGAAUUGAUUUGUCCACAAAAAUCUCCAUGCAGUAACUCUUUCAUCCUCAUCAACUAAACCUGGUAGUUUGUCGAUGACAACAUUGGACAGUGGAUGGAUGCGGAUCCAAAGUCCUUUGUACGAGGCACAAAGCUAGUCAUGUCGGCCAUCAUGCUUUCAUGAUCUUUCCUCCUGUAUCGAAGCUUCAACUUAAGUUUAGAUCGAGUCUCCAACCUGAGGUUCUGAUAUCAAUUCCAAUCUCUAGGAUCUCUAGAAACACAAAGAAUUAUAAGAACAUUUUUUUCUUAUUAGCUUUAGAAACUACUUAAAACUAAAACACUUCAAUGUUUCUCUUAGAUCUCUUCAAUCUUAUGGAACACCUUUCCAUUAGAUCUCUAUUGUUAUGAAAGACAAUUCCCUUUAACAAGUGGGAUAUGAAAAACACAAACCUAAUCUAAUAGAAAACUUCAUUUUUCCUAUUCUAGAUUUCUUUAUUAAUUGUGUUUAUCUCUUUACUGAUGCACCUUAUCAGUCACAUUAUACCUCUUCACCGAAUACAAUUGAAGCUAUCUUCCCGCAAGAAACUGAGCUUUAUUGUGUUGCAGAUGCCUCUUGGAAAGCAUCUACAGAAAAGAUAGGAAUUGGGUGAUCCUUGCAUAGCAAAAAAGGCACUCUAAAGAUUCAAGGAAGCGCUGCACUUACACCAACAAACUCAGAAUUAGAAGCUGAAGCAAUAGCUAUGAAGUCAGCUGUUCAACAACUUAACAGACUUGCAUACACCAAUGUUCUCAUGCUAGGAGAUUGCACAGAGCUAUUCAGAUGCUUAGAUGGAAUUAAACAGAGACAAUUAAAUGCACAUGAGGUUAAUGAAGCAAGGACUAUAAUACAAGACAUCAUUGUUUCAUCCAAACAAACAAUUUCACUUUUAACAUGUUCCUAGAUCUCUUACAUGUAAUGUUGAUCAGCUAGCAAAACAAGCCAGGAUUACAAAUCAGGACUAUUUAAUAUCAUGGUACUCUUAACUAUUGUAAUUUCCAAGCUUCCAAUAAUACAAAGUUGACAAAAAAAGACUUGAAUAAAAUAUUCUAAAUAUUGACAAAAGACCACAUCAAAAUUAAAUGGGGUAUAUUCAACCUAAAAUUUUAAUUAAUUUAAUAUUUAAAUUAAUUUUACAUAAUUUUAGUUGGAUUAAAAAAAAAUUGUUUUUCUUAAGUCAUUCUAGAAGCUCAUUUAAAUUAUGAUAUCUAAAUUUUAUUCUUAAAUACAAAACAACAUGAAAAUAUUCUUUAAAAAUCCUAAAAUUUAACAAUAUUUUCAAAACAGUAGAUAUCAAAUUUAAUAACAGUAGUUUUUUGUUAAAAAAGUUAUGUCUACCUAAUACUAAUACAAUGAGAUUUUGAUAAAUAUACUCUCUGCUUUAAUAUAUAAGUAGUUUUGAAGAAUUAUUUUUUGUUUUACAAUAUAAAUUGUUUCCAAAAUCUAAUAAAAAAACAAAUUUAAACAUAAAAUUAAAAGCAAAAUUGGAAAUAUGAUUUGCAUUGGUUAUUUUUUAAAUUAAUUGUUAAAGAUAAAAAGAUGCUUUUCUUCAUAAUUGUGCUUUUAUCCAAAACUACUUAUAAUUUGAAAGAGAGAGAGAGUAUUUAGUAGUGUAACAGUCUGUAAAUUUCAUAACUAAUUAAUGGUAAAAAUCAUGGAUUAGGGAGAGAUUGGUAGCUUAUGCCUAGUAGUGUCUGGUAGGGCGAUCAACGUGUUACUGUUUCUUCAUUACCUUCAAAUGCCAAUUAAUUUUUGUUUGGAAGCCGGAAUGUUUUGUUAACACUUAAAUAAAUAUUCGCUUUUAGAUCAAAAAUAAAUAAAUAAAGUUUUAAUUGGCAGUGUUACUUCCACAACUUCUUUACUCUCAUCUCAAGUAAUGGAUUUGUUCAGCCACCCUCAUCAGUUCAGACAAUUAAUUAAUGAGAAUUAAAUAUCCUUAUCAGCGUAUUGACAAGAAAAUAUCAUUAUCAAUGUAUAAAUGCCAAAACGUGUCAUCGACUAGUGUUGGGCCAAUUGCACACGCCAUGUUUUGUAAUCAAAAGAAAACUCGUCCGAAUUUUGUAAUUUGAUUACGCUUAGGUUACUUUUUGAAAUUUUUAUUUUAAAUUUAUUUUUAACGCUGAAUAAUUAUACUAUUAAGAACAUUACAAACAAUUAUAGAAUCGACAAUUUUAUAUGUCUUUUGAAAAUUCACGUUUAAUUGCAUCAUAUAAACCGUCCUAUAGAAUCAAAGAGAUAGAGAUGUAGAAGUAUUAAUAAACAUUAAUUAAAUCAUUGGACCAAAGAAAUUUCCACAUUUUGAAUUAUUUUCUUAUUUGCACUUUGUGGUAUGAAUGUAUUUUUUGUAACUUUCAUUUCACUAGAUUUGAUUAUUGAUCGACAAAUCUACUGGAGCAGUAUUUAAGGAAUGGGUCUUCUCUCUGGCUUCUAUUAAUUAUUGUCCCCAAAUGUCAGAGAGCCCAUUGCCAGAGAGCCCAUAGAUUAUAAAUAUGUUAUGUCUGAAAAUGAAUCGCAUUGUCAUUGACUGUUUAGGUUUGUCUAAGUAAACGAACUUGCUGAAUCUGAAAGAUAUAUACCUCAGUCUAAUUAUAUUCUUCCAGGCCUGUCACUGACUUCAACGAGAUUGUACACCACUUUACUGAGUGUAUGUAUGUCCACAUGUACAACACCAAGCCACGGGUAUUAGCCUAUCCUUCACCAUUAUUUCAAGCAUUGUUCCACAGCCUAAAACUUGUUAUAUCCUAACCUCAACUACUUUUAUGUCAUUUUUAUUUCAAUAUUUAUGUAUGUUUUUUUUUAAUGUUAUGAUAUCCAAUCUUUCAAACUUAAAAAAAUAUAUAUAUAUAUAUAUAUAUAUAUAUAUAUUUAAGAACCUCAAUGAGGUUUUCCCAUUAAACGCUCAAAAAAAUAAUUAGACUAAGAAGGGUUCUAAACUUAUCAAAUCACAAAAUUAAAGGUUAAUUUAUUCAUUAGAAUCCACAUAGAUAUAUACUCCACAUAUUCUUAUUACUUGAACAGAGUUUUACUCUUACUCGUACCUGCCCCAGUUUUCCGUUUUUCACAGUAUAUAAUAUAAAAAAUUGCUACACGCAAAUAAGGACAACAUGCUAAUCAACAUGUUACAUGGAUUCAUUGAACAUAUAUGAGUUUUCAAAUAUAGGAAAAAUGAUCUUUUUGUUUCUGUUUUAAUCAUUUCAUAUGUGACUUUACGGCUAUUUGCUUAGUGGAGAUGCGAAAAUUGAUAUAAAAAGUACUGUUUUGGUGCGUGACGAAUGACGAUCAUUGAGGGUGAUGGGUGAUUUGUUGGUCAAAUUAUCUCACCAAAUGUCAUCAUUUUACUUAAUCAUCUUAUGAUCCAUGCCGUUUGAGAAUAUAUAGUAAAACAAUCCGUUAAAUAUCUCUAUAUGUGAGAUAUAUUAGUUCCCAGAAUAUAUAAUAAGGUUUCUUUCAAGAAGAUGAUUUUACAUAUAUAACUAUAAAUCUUUGAGUUCAAGAUAACUUAUUACUGUCAUACGCGACUACGAUUUUUAGUUAGCUCAUAAUUGUUUGUUUUUUUAAUGUUUGCUUUUACACAACUCAUGAUGUGAUUUUUUUAUAGUCACGUUUUAGAAAAAUAACAUCCCAACGCCAUUAGACUAUAUUUUUUGUCAAAAAGAUUUUUAGAAUAUUGGAUUUUGUUGGGUUUUCAUUUUUAUAUACAACACACAAUUUUUUUUUUAAGAAAAUAAAUCACUUAAACCAAAAUUCUAAGAUGUAUUCGGUUUUUAAUCGGACAUAAAAACAAAGAAUAGAAGUCUUUUUAUAAUGUGUUUUGCUAUUUUUCUCUAAAAUAAGUUAUUCUAUAAUAGCGAUGAGAUCUAUUCCAAUAUAUUUUAAAAAUAUUUUUAUAUGCUAAGGAUAUAGAAAAUUAUAUUUAUUUUCUUAAAUGUAGAAAAAUAUAAAUUUCUAUUCUAAAUAAAAUAAUAGAAAUGAGGAACCAUAUUCUUUGACUAAUUUAAACCAUUCAUAUCUUGGUAAAUGAGGAAGCAUAUUACCUGUAAAUACUAUGAUAUCUUUAUAUAUAAAGUAAGGUUUUCUCUCCUGUGAGGCUGCCAUGUCAGCGCCAUGUCAGAAAAUCGAGCUUUGUCGGUGUGACACGUGUCCGUCGCUUAAAACGUGCCGUUUCAUUAAAGCUAUCUAAUUCAUAUUUGCGGGUUUUUUUUCUGGGUUUUAUGUUUUACUCAAAUAAUUCUAGCCCGACAGCAAAAAAGAAAAGCCCAAAAACGCCUUCACCUUCGUAACAAAAGCUUCCAUCCUUUUUAGGGUUCAUCUGUGCCAUGAUUCAACGCAGACCAACCUCUAUUCGAAGCUGCCGCCUCUAAUUAGUCGCUUGACAUUCUUGCUACUGGUUCUCACAAUCUAACUCCAUUACAUAAUCCAGUGCAUCCAAUCGUCGUGAUUAAACCUCUCAUUAAUAGCAUAUUCCCACUCUUCAUACGAUUUCACAUUCAAUCCAUCUACUCAUAACUUCUACGGUGUGAAUCUAUAAUCUAUAAAUAUGUGAAAUUUUUCUCUUUUUCUUAAUCUUCCUGAAACUUUCGUAAAUCUUCUGAGUCGUCACCGAAGAGUAACGCGUUUCUUCGAGCGGGAAGAGAUGAAAAGGCCGGUGAUUGCUUCUCUGGUGGUCGUAUAAGAUGCGCUUGGAUCACUCCGAAAUCUGACCAAUCUUUCAUUGCUUUCCAUGAUAACGAGUGAGGAGUUCAUGUCCAUGAUGACAAGUACGUGAUGAUAUAUCUUUUACUGAUUAUUUUUGCUUAGUCUGGGUGAUGCUAUUUUGUGUAUUGUAAACGCUCUUAUUUGUCAAACUGUUUGCAUGAAAAUUUAGUUAUUAAGCCAGCCUCUCUGGUGUUCUUCCGGAACUAUCCUAGAAAUACAUUCUUUUCAAAAGACAAUCGUUCAGAUAACUAUGAUCAAUGCGUUUUUUUUGUAACAUGAUCUUCUUAUGAGCCAAAUUUCAAAGUUCUUAAUCUUUGUUUAAACAGAGAAAUUUUCAUGGAAUUUGAUUCAAUUCCUACAUCUGAACUAACAAUCAAAAAGAGAGAACAUCCCCUGAGUUGCUACCACUACAUUACUAUCCAUGAUCCAAGGCUUAAUGGUUUGCUUUUUUUUUUUACUUUUUUUUUUUGUUACAGUAAUUCUCUGGUUACUACGAACUUUGUCACUACUUUUUGUAUAUUUGAUCAGAGUAGUAUUCGUGCUUGCCGACAUAAGCGAGAUACAAUUCAUGAGUUAUCACCUGUUGUAAAACGUAUGAUCAGGAAGGCUAUAGAUCAUGUAAGCUUAAGCAUAUUAACCAGAGGUGGAGAUGGUCGGGUCAUUGUGGACGCUUGCUGUGUUCCCCCCAAUGCCCUGGCUCCUUACUGUGCUGCUACUCAACUCUCUGGAUCCAGAAUCUGGAUCUUUUCUAUCUGUUUUACUCACCAUUACUCAGAGUACGUCUCACAACGUUAAGGAUACUGCAAUAAAAGAUUCGGCUGCAGAAUGCCUGAUUAAUA